GAUGAACGCUGGCGGCGUGCUUAACACAUGCAAGUCGAACGAUGAAGCCCAGCUUGCUGGGUGGAUUAGUGGCGAACGGGUGAGUAACACGUGAGUAACCUGCCCUUGACUCUAGGAUAAGCCCGGGAAACUGGGUCUAAUACUGGAUAGGAACGUCUACCGCAUGGUGGGUGUUGGAAAGAAUUUCGGUCAUGGAUGGACUCGCGGCCUAUCAGCUUGUUGGUGAGGUAAUGGCUCACCAAGGCGACGACGGGUAGCCGGCCUGAGAGGGUGACCGGCCACACUGGGACUGAGACACGGCCCAGACUCCUACGGGAGGCAGCAGUGGGGAAUAUUGCACAGUGGGCGAAAGCCUGAUGCAGCGACGCCGCGUGAGGGAUGACGGCCUUCGGGUUGUAAACCUCUUUCAGUAGGGAAGAAGCGAAAGUGACGGUACCUGCAGAAGAAGCACCGGCUAACUACGUG
rnacentral:rRNA from 1 species